GCUCCCUUCGUCUAUCGGAAAGGACGCCAGGUUUUCAACCUGGAAAGACGGGUUCGACUCCCGUAGGGAGCGCCA
rnacentral:tRNA from 1 species